rnacentral:rRNA from 1 species
UAAGGAAUAUUGGGCAAUGGACGCAAGUCUGACCCAGCCAUGCCGCGUGAAGGAUGAAGGUCCUCUGGAUUGUAAACUUCUUUUUUCUGGGGCGAAAACCAGCCUUUCUAGGUUAUUUGACAGUACCAGAAGAAUAAGCACCGGCUAACUCCGUG